AGAUGCAGCCGGCACCACAAGACCUGUUCCCGAUGCCCAGGAUGGCCUCAGAAGGGGCUUCGAUAUGGGAACAGGCUGCUGGGCAGGGUUAAUGGCAGGCCUGCUUUUUUUGGCGUUUAUCUUCAUCUUAUGCUGGGUCCAAAUUCAUUAUUACUGGAAGAGAAAAUGGUGCUUCUGUGCAUCUUCAGCAGAUGGGCCUAAAAACACAGGCAGCGGGAACUUGAUAGUUUAUAACAGCUCUCCACUUCUGCCCAUAUCUGCCCUGCCGUGGCUGCAGCAGCGUCAUGAGGCCAUCCCAAAACCCAUCCUUCCACGAGACCCUCUUCCCCUGAGCCCCCUGGUCCUGUUCCCCGGCCAGGACUGAAGGUGGGCAUCCCCUGUCCGAGAGGGCAGGGCUUGGCCCAUAUUUCAUAUUUAAAUAAAAGAACAAAGUUUUCAUAA